rnacentral:misc_RNA from 1 species
GAAAUGCGAUAAGUAAUGUGAAUUGCAGAAUUCAGUGAAUCAUCGAAUCUUUGAACGCAUCUUGCGCUCCUUGGUAUUCCUUGGAGCAUGCCUGUUCGAGUAUCAUGAAAUCUUCAAAGUAAAUCUUUUGUUAACUCAAUUGGUUUCUACUUUGGUAUUGGAGGUCUUUGCAGCUUCACACCUGCUCCUCUUUGUUCAUUAGCUGGAUCUCAGUGUUAUGCUUGGUUCCACUCGGCGUGAUAAGUUAUCUAUCGCUGAGGACACUGUAAAAGGUGGCCAAGGUAAAUGCAGAUGAACCGCUUCUAAUAGUCCAUUGACUUGGACAAUACUUUUAUGAUCUGAUCUCAAAUCAGGUAGGACUACCCGCUGAACUUAAGC